UCCAGGAGGUCGGCAACGACCACCCAGAGCCGGAAAGUUGGUCAAACUUGGUCAUUUAGAGGAAGUAAAAGUCGUAACAAGGUCUCCGUAGGUGAACCUGCGGAGGGAUCAUUACCGAGUUGUGGAAACACAAUCUCCCUUUCUUGUUGUUUGACCGGUUGCCUUGCCUUCGGGCAGGAUUAUUCUGAAUCAGUGUCGUCUGAGUACUUUUAUAAUACUAUAAAACUUUCAACAACGGAUCUCUUGGUUCUGGCAUCGAUGAAGAACGCAGCGAAAUGCGAUAAGUAAUGUGAAUUGCAGACACCGUGAAUCAUCGAAUCUUUGAACGCACAUUGCGCCCUUUGGUAUUCCGAAGGGCAUGCCUGUUCGAGCGUCAUUACACUAUUCUUCGGAGUAUUGACAGUGGCUUACGCCUUGUCUAAAACCCUUGGUGGUAACUAUCAAUCACGCAUAGUAAUCUCUGCGAAGGUGGAUAGGUAAACACUGAAAACUUCUUGUUUGACCUCGGAUCAGGUAGGGAUACCCGCUGAACUUAAGCAUAUCAAUAAGCGGAGGAAAAGAAACCAACAGGGAUUGCCUCAGUAACGGCGAGUGAAGCGGCAACAGCUCAAAUUUGAAACCUGCCAACCGGCCGGAUUGUAAUUUGUAGAGGAUGCUUUGGAGUCAGCACUGAUCUAAGUUUCUUGGAACA
rnacentral:rRNA from 1 species